rnacentral:rRNA from 1 species
UACGAAGGGUCCAAGCGUUAAUCGGAAUUACUGGGCGUAAAGCGCGCGUAGGUGGUUUGUUAAGUUGGAUGUGAAAGCCCCGGGCUCAACCUGGGAACUGCAUCCAAAACUGGCAAGCUAGAGUAUGGCAGAGGGUGGUGGAAUUUCCUGUGUAGCGGUGAAAUGCGUAGAUAUAGGAAGGAACACCAGUGGCGAAGGCGACCACCUGGGCUAAUACUGACACUGAGGUGGGAAAGCGUGGGGGGCAAACAGGGUUGGAUGGCCCCGUAGUCC